CCUGUUUCAUAUACAGGCCUGUAUAUGAAACAGGCCUGUUUCAUAUGAAACAGGCCUGUUUCAUAUACAGGCCUGUAUAAGAAACAG
rnacentral:miRNA from 1 species